CCUACGGGCGGCAGCAGUGAGGAAUAUUGGUCAAUGGGAGAGAUCCUGAACCAGCCAAGCCGCGUGAGGGAAGACGGCCCUAUGGGUUGUAAACCUCUUUUGUCGGAGAACAAAACCCGGGACGUGUCCCGGACUGCGUGUAUCCGAAGAAAAAGCAUCGGCUAACUCCGUGCCAGCAGCCGCGGUAAUACGGAGGAUGCGAGCGUUAUCCGGAUUUAUUGGGUUUAAAGGGUGCGUAGGCGGUCCGUUAAGUCAGCGGGAAAAUUGCGGGGCUCAACCCCGUCGAGCCGUUGAAACUGGCAGACUUGAGUUGGCGAGAAGUACGCGGAAUGCGGGGUGUAGCGGUGAAAUGCAUAGAUAUCGCGCAGAACUCCGAUUGCGAAGGCAGCGUACCGGCGCCAGACUGACGCUGAGGCACGAAAGCGUGGGGAUCGAACAGGAUUAGAUACCCCAGUAGUC
rnacentral:rRNA from 1 species